UGGGGAAUAUUGGACAAUGGGGGCAACCCUGAUCCAGCAAUGCCGCGUGUGUGAAGAAGGUCUUCGGAUUGUAAAGCACUUUCGACGGGGACGAUGAUGACGGUACCCGUAGAAGAAGCCCCGGCUAACUUCGUGCCAGCGGCCGCGGUAAUACGAAGGGGGCUAGCGUUGCUCGGAAUGACUGGGCGUAAAGGGCGUGUAGGCGGUUUACACAGUCAGAUGUGAAAUCCCCGGGCUUAACCUGGGAGCUGCAUUUGAUACGUGUAGACUAGAGUGUGAGAGAGGGUUGUGGAAUUCCCAGUGUAGAGGUGAAAUUCGUAGAUAUUGGGAAGAACACCGGUGGCGAAGGCGGCAACCUGGCUCAUGACUGACGCUGAGGCGCGAAAAGCGUGGGGAGCAAACAGGAUUAGAUACCCUGGUAGUCCACGCUGUAAACGAUGUGUGCUAGAUGUUGGGUAACUUUGUUAUUCAGUGUCGCAGUUAACGCGUUAAGCACACCGCCUGGGGAGUACGGCCGCAAGGUUGAAAC
rnacentral:rRNA from 1 species